CGUUGCAACAUGGUCGCAUGCUGCUGGACGCGCUCCUCGACCGCCAAAGUGGGGUUGUAUGCUCCUGCUAACUCGAUUUAGAAGGUGCGUUAUUCUGAGUAACACACGUGAUAUAAUGCUGUGUUCUCUCCAGGUUGUUCCAGGUGUCUAUAGGUCCUGAUAUAAUGUUGUGUUCUCUCCAGGUGUCUAUAGGUCCUGAUAUAAUGUUGUGUUCUCUCCAGGUGUCUAUAGGUCCUGAUAUAAUGCUGUGUUCUCUCCAGGUGUCUAUAGGUCCUGAUAUAAUGUUGUGUUCUCUCCAGGUGUCUAUAGGUCCUGAUAUAAUGUUGUGUUCUCUCCAGGUGUCUAUAGGUCCUGAUAUAAUGUUGUGUUCUCUCCAGGUGUCUAUAGGUCCUGAUAUAAUGCUGUGUUCUCUCCAGGUGUCUAUAGGUCCUGAUAUAAUGCUGUGUUCUCUCCAGGUGUCUAUAGGUCCUGAUAUAAUGUUGUGUUCUCUCCAGGUGUCUAUAGGUCCUGAUAUAAUGUUGUGUUCUCUCCAGGUGUCUAUAGGUCCUGAUAUAAUGCUGUGUUCUCUCCAGGUGUCUAUAGGUCCUGAUAUAAUGUUGUGUUCUCUCCAGGUGUCUAUAGGUCCUGAUAUAAUGCUGUGUUCUCUCCAGGUGUCUAUAGGUCCUGAUAUAAUGUUGUGUUCUCUCCAGGUGUCUAUAGGUCCUGAUAUAAUGUUGUGUUCUCUCCAGGUGUCUAUAGGUCCUGAUAUAAUGUUGUGUUCUCUCCAGGUGUCUAUAGGUCCUGAUAUAAUGUUGUGUUCUCUCCAGGUGUCUAUAGGUUCUGAUAUAAUGCUGUG